GGAUAUAGUAAACUUUAUCUUCCAUGGAUUGAACUGUAUAUAGCAAUGCAAACCAGGAACUUAAGCUUGGCAUGUACUUGAAUCCGAGUCCUUUAAAAAUACAUGCUAGUUCUUCCAGAUUAUAGGUUGCUGAGACAUUGGCAAGAAUUGCAAUGGAAGACCAGAUAAACAGUUUCAACAAAUUUGACGUUGGCGAAAAUGAUCAUGGACAGGAAAAGAUUUCCAAUCUGAACUCCUAGACUUCUAAUAAGUUCUAUCCCAUGUGUCGAAAACCACCAAAGCUCUAACUCUAUAGAGUAAAACAUUCAUGAUUUGAUUAACCCUUUAUCGUUUAGUUAGAUGU
rnacentral:lncRNA from 1 species